GUACAAGUAGCCAUGCUGCGCAGACCAUAUGAUCUGGCAGAACCCAUGGUAUUUGAGGUAUCUGUGGUGGGAAAAGAUCCCCGUGGAGUUUAUGACAAGACCUAGUGGGAGAAUCACAAUGUAGAUCCCUGUGGUUCUGGAGCAGGGCCAUGCCAUCUGCAGCCAGGAAUGACACGCUUUUCAAAAGCAGCUCCUGAUUUGCUACAGGAUUCUGGAAGAGACAGAUCGUCUGAGCCUGGAUCAUCAAGUUGACCAUGCAGCCACAGCUGCUCAUCAUGAGCUAGAUUCUGUCAGACCCAUCAAGUCAAAAGGUCAGAAAGCCCAGCAGCAAUUCAUCAUAGGAUAGACGUGGUACUACUGGCAUCGGGCACAGCAGGGCCAAAGGGCAGAAGGUAGCUGCAUGAGCAGGUGGCCCAGACGUCUCUGUCACUCACCACCUUUGCGUCAGUGCCUCUCCCUCAGCUCACCUAUGGCUGCCUGGGGAGCUCCUUGUAUCCAGCUGGAGGAGAAAAAAGCCAUGCUUUGUUCCUGGGUGGAUCGGCUCAGGAACAGUAUGUGUGAGCAAGCCAAAAAUAGACUGGCUGCACUGCAGCCCCACACAGGCGUGUCCUUGAAAGACAGCCGAGGGAAAAUCCUUCCAAGGGGCAGAGCUUUGGAUAGUGCACCUAGUCAUCUACUUUUUGUGGAAAGAGAAGGGCCCAAGGUUAGAAUAUACAUGGAUCUCAUGGGCAGUGGUGAAUAGCUUGUCUGGUUGAUUAGGGGUCUGGAGAGAAUAAGAUUGGAAAAUCGGGGACAAGGAGAUCUGGGAUAGAGGCAUGUGGUGGGACUUCUGAGAGUGGGCACCAUAUGUGAAGAUCAUUGUAUUCCAUGUUAACACCCACCAGAGGUUGUACACCACGGAAGAAGCACUCAGCGACCAUAUGUAUGCAGUUGACAUCAGCCAGCCUCUAUCGAAGGCCACCCCAGAGCUGGGUGCAUCAGCAGAGUAAGCAUGCUGGUGUGGAGAAAGUGCAUGUAUGGGCCCAAUAGCAUGGGCUCACACUCAUCAACACUCAUCUGGAUAUUGCUGAUGCUGAGUGUUCAACCUGCCAGUUACAAGACCAACUCUGAGUCUCAGCUACGUCUCCAUUCCUUGAGAAGAACAACCAGCCACUUCAUGAGACACAGUCCAAGUUCCCGCAUCGCCUUCGGUCCUGCCUCUCCAGCCUCCUCUGCUCUGUGACAGUGGCUCAGUCUCUCCUCGUCUCCCAUGACCGUGACAGUCUUGAGCAGAGCUGGCCACGGAUUUUGUAGACUGGUCCUCAGUCUGGAUUUGGUGAUGAUUUCCUCGUGACCGAACUGGGGUUAUGGGUUUUGGGGAAGAGGACAGAGGCGGAGUGCCCCUCUCGUCACAUCACAUUAGGCGCACGUGACAUCCGCAUAAUGUGUCACCAGUGAUGCUAACAACGUUGACUGCUUGGUGAAGGUGGUGUUUGCCAGGUGUCUCCACAGUAAAGUUAAUAUUUUUCCCUUUCCAUACCCUGUUCUUUGGAGGCAAGACACUAAGUCCAGACCCUACUCAGAGCAGGGAUUAAGCCCACCUCCUGGGGGACGGUGGGAGAGCCACUUGAAUUAUCUGGAAUUCUUCCCUAAGGAAGAUUUGCCCAUUCUCCCCUAUUUAUUUGCUUAUUUAAUAUCAGUAUGGACUCACAUAUAUUUAUUUUAUACUUUCAAUCUGUUUUUUCACGGUGACUGUAAAUUCACGUAUUUUUUUUUAAUGCAGAAAACAUACAAACAGCUGUGCUGUGUGAGAAACAAAUUCUAUGAUGGCAAGAUUCUCCCUCUACAGCUCUUCACGACUGCCUUUGAGUAGGGUCAUCUUUGGCUUAUUGCUAUUCACCUGGCAACCUCACACAAGCUGUUUCAACUCUGCAGGCCUCAGUUUCCCCAUCUGAAUGAGAGAGUCUUCAUGGAGUGGUCUCAGAGGGGAAGAGGGGAUGAUGUUUGUAUGUUUAUAGGUAUACAGCUGUUCUGUUGCCUAUUAACAGAACUAAAGUCCUUAAGGGCAAGGGGUAUCUUCUCUUAUUUAUGUUGGAAAAUGAACCCAGAGCUAAUAGUCCUUGAGAACAUCACGUAAACGUAAUCUUUAUAUCCCCUCCCACAACCCCAGAUGGUUCUCCUGCCCUGCUGUGCUGCCUCUCUGCAUGGGAUUUGGUUCUGCUUUUCUCGAGUGUCUGACACCCACCCCAAGGCCCGGCAUUCAAGGCCUUGUCCUCCUUGGCCUCAUUUUUGUGCCUCUCAUCUACCUGUACUACGGCCACACAGACGUCCUUGUCACCCCCAUGAAUUUCAGUGCUUACGGUAUCGCCCUCCUCUGUGCCAGGCUGGGCUGGGCACCAGGCCACAGAGAUGAACCAGAGAGGGGCUCUGAGUCAGAGCUCACAGUCCAAUGUGGGCGCCAAGUCCUCGAUCCAUAGCAAUCUGACAUACAGAGGGAUGAGUGGAGCACUGUGGGAGCAUAGUGGAGGGAGGGCCUGGCCUGGAGAGAAUCAGAAAGGCUUGGCAAAGAUGCUAACUUCUGAGCUGGGCUUUGACAGGUGUAUGGGAGUUUACGGGGUAGUGAAUGGGAGAAGGCGUAUUCCAGGCACAAAGAAAGGUAUGUGUGUGUGAACCAGAGAAAUGGCAGAGACCAGGGAACAGUCAUAAGUGUCAUGUGUCUGGAGCCGAAGUUCAGGAAGAAAGAAGGGCCCGAAGUGAGACAGGAGAGUGAGGUGGGGACCUCUGUGAGGAGCCUCAAUUCUGGGCUGGCAGUUUCUACUUGCGGAAUUUCAAAGGUGUUUUUCUUUUGUUUUUUUUGUUUUUGUGAGGAAGAUUGGUCCUGAGCUAACAUCUGUUGCCAAUCUCUUCCUCUUCUUGCUUGAGGAAGAUUGUUGCUGAGCUAACAUCUGUGCCAGUCUUCCUCUAUUUUACGUGGGAUGCUAUCACAGUGUGGCUUGACAAGUGGUGCUAGGUCUGUGCCCAGAAUCCGAACCCGCGAACCCCGGGGUGCUGAAGCAGAGUGUAGGAACUUAACUACUGUGCCACCAGACCGGCCCCUAAAGGUUUUGAGGUAAGGAAAUACCUAAGUAAAAUUGUAGGUGCAGGAUCAGGGGCUUGCUGUGUGGGUUACUGUUCACCAGCAAAUAUUGAGCGGGUAUAGCACAUCAGUAUUUAUGUGUUUCCCUCUCUACCUUGGCACGAGCUCCAGGCGGGGACGGUGUCUGACUCAUUCCUGUGUCCCCAGCACAGAGUCUGCACAGAGCGGGAACUCAGCGCCCGGCACUGGAGGAGUGGAUUAGAAGGCAGGCCGCUCUCCACAUUGACCUGCAGAGUGACCUCUCUGACCCCUAGGAUCCAACCUUACCACAGCAGGCAGAAAGCCUUUUACUGGCUCCCAGUGUCCCGGAUGAAGCCCACACGCCGUAAAUGAUGAUGAAGAUGAAGGUGGUAGCUACCACAUACCUCUCUCACAACCCCCACAACAGUCCUGCAAGGCAGGCGAGGAUCAUUGUCCUCAUUUGUCAAAUGAAAAUCUGAUGGCUCAGAGAGGUUCAGUGACUUACCCGAGGUUACUCAGCCAGCGAGCUGCAGACACAGGCACCAAGCCCAGGGCUGUGGGCUGAUUGUUUGACGGGCAUUCGAGGCCUGUCAGCCUCCCUCGCCAGAGAAGUUGCCAGGCUUGUCCAGGUGCCCAGGCAUCAGCCUCGUCUGACUCAGCAAGGAGCAAGUCGGAGGCGGCUGCUUGCCCGUCAGACUGCUGUUUUCUGCCUGAGAAGCAUCACUUGCCUCUUUCUCUUCUGCUCCUCAAGGAUCAUUCUGCAUCUGGGGGGAGUCAUUUUCCACAGAGUCAAGAGUUCUGAAAACUCGCUUUAUUGUUGUACACUGAAAACGGAUACCAUGUUAUGUGUGAGUUAUAUCUCAAUUAAAAGUCAGGUUAUAUUAGUGUACACAGCAACAGUAGAAGCUAACAUUUAUGCGGCAUUGAACGUCAAGACCGUGCUAAGUGCUUCACAUACAUUGUCUCACUUUGUAAGGUCCAUUAAUUUAUUUAUUUGAAUAAGGACCCUCUACACGUGAUUAAAAGAAAGAGAGAGAGGGAUUACAAAAAAAGCGUUUGGUGAAAAGUCAGUCUCUUUCCUCCUCUGCACUCCUAUCUCCCACGUCCCCUCCCAGAGACCAGUGUGACCAGCUCCUCGGGUGUCCUGCAGAGUCCCGAGUUACUACUAUCUCAUUUAAUCCUCUCAUCAGCCCUUUGAAGUAGGUAUUAUUAUCCUUGUAUUACAUAUCAGGACACUGAGGUUCAGAGACAGGAAGCCAC
ensembl:lncRNA